UACCGGAUACUCCAUAUUUGUGCAUGGCGAAUAUGGGAAAGCUCCGGCGGCAAAGGAUGGGCCCGCGGCCUGUUAGCUAGUUGGUGGGGUAGUGGCCUACCAAGGCAAUGAUGGGUAGCCGGGUUGAGAGACCGACCGGCCAGAUUGGGACUGAGACACGGCCCAGACUCCUACGGGAGGCAGCAGUGGGGAAUCUUGCACAAUGGGCGAAAGCCUGAUGCAGCGACGCCGCGUGCGGGAUGAAGGCCUUCGGGUUGUAAACCGCUUUCAGCAGGGACGAGGCCGCAAGGUGACGGUACCUGCAGAAGAAGCCCCGGGCUAACUACGUGCCAGCAGCCGCGGUAAAU
rnacentral:rRNA from 1 species